CACGUAGGGGACGAGCGUUGUCCGGAUUCAUUGGGCGUAAAGCGCACGUAGGCGGCCAACUAAGUCAGACGUGAAAUCCCUCGGCUUAACCGGGGAACUGCGUCUGAUACUGGAUGGCUAGAGGUUGGGAGAGGGAUGCGGAAUUCCAGGUGUAGCGGUGAAAUGCGUAGAUAUCUGGAGGAACACCGGUGGCGAAGGCGGCAUCCUGGACCAAUUCUGACGCUGAGGAGCGAAAGCCAGGGGAGCAAACGGG
rnacentral:rRNA from 1 species